rnacentral:tRNA from 1 species
UAGCUCAGUUGGUGGAGCACUCCACUGGAAAUGGAGAGGUCCCGGGUUCGACACCCGG